AUUGAACGCUGGCGGCAGGCUUAACACAUGCAAGUCGAGCGAGCGGCGGACGGGUGAGUAAUGUCUGGGAAACUGCCUGAUGGAGGGGGAUAACUACUGGAAACGGUAGCUAAUACCGCAUACCAUCGGAUGUGCCCAGAUUGGAUUAGCGAGUAGGUGGGGUAUUGGCCGACCGAGGCGUCGAUCCCUAGCUGGUCUGAGAGGAUGACCAGACAAACUGGAACUGAGACACGGUCCAGACUCCAACGGCAGGCAGCAGUGGGGAAGCUUGGACAAUGGGCGAAAGCCUGAUCCAGCCAUGCCGCGUGUGUGAAGAAGGUCUUCGGAUUGUAAAGCACUAUAAGUUGGGAGGCGUUACCAACAGAAUAAGCACCGGCUAACUUCGUGCCAGCAGCCGCGGUAAUAC
rnacentral:rRNA from 1 species